AAGUGAUUGCUGUGGCCUAUACAAGGACCCUGCUGGAAGGAGACGACAACUUGCCCAAGCUCAUGCUAGUGUCAUCCUAACUUUGUGCAGAUAAGUUGCUCUCUCAGGACGUCGUCAUACUCGUUGAGAACAUCAUUGCCUUUCUGGACAAGAAUUGUCAGCUUCUGUUCUACUUGGCCACUUUCCCCAUCAGUGUUCAUGGUGAGAGGAGAAACUGAAAUAUUGAGAGUUGGUCUGCUACAGGGGUCUGGGGAAAGGCUAGACAUCUCCAUAAGCCCUAUGAAAUUAACUUGAUGGAUGAGCUGACUUUGAAAGGCAUCAUUCAGUACUGUGCCUGUGUUACAGAGAGAUGUUCACUGUCACUGUCUCAACACCCUCUUCUUCAGGGAACACAGAAAUCUAUGUUCUAGGACUUCAGAAAUGGCCUGUGCAGAAACCUGUACCCGGUUUGUACAGAUGUUUUUACAAGAGGAAGUGAUGUGCAGGCUGUCAAUGUGGUCAUUUUAAUUUUGAUUUCCUGUAAUGUUAAGUAUGUGUAUUGGGUGCACUAACAAAUGUUAAAAUUAUAUUAACUAUGACAUCUUAAAUUAAAACGUUUACAUGACAUAUCUAAAUGUAGUUGAAAAUAAAGUAUCUCAUUAAAAAUAAGCCUUAAUGUUUCAAUUUCAUUGUUUUUCAUUUGUGU